UACGUAGGGGGCAAGCGUUGUCCGGAUUUACUGGGCGUAAAGAGCGUGUAGGCGGCCAUGCAGGUCCGUUGUGAAAACUGGAGGCUUAACCUCCAGACGUCGACGGAAACAGCGUGGCUAGAGUCCGGAAGAGGAGAGUGGAAUUCCUGGUGUAGCGGUGAAAUGCGCAGAUAUCAGGAAGAACACCAAUGGCGAAGGCAGCUCUCUGGGACGGUACUGACGCUGAGACGCGAAAGCGUGGGGAGCGAACAGG
rnacentral:rRNA from 1 species